UAGCGCAUACAUGAAGAUGGUAUCUUUGGUGUGGCUGGAGGAGAUAAUUAAAUUGCUGUGAAGUGGAUCAGACACCUGCUGGACACUUAUGGUGCACCUCAAGUGACCAUAAAGAAGAACAGGUAUGGAGAAAUCAGUAGACUGGACAUAAUUUUGUUUGGUGUACCUACUUUGAGAAAUUAGAUUACAUACUGCAUAGUAAUCUGCAACACACUUCACUUGCUCGUAGUCAUCUGCAUUGGCCAACAGGUG